GAUAGAUAGAUAGAUAGAUAGGUGACCUACUUUCUGCUAAAAUGAAAUAAUAUUAUUUUCUGACUCCGUCAGAUAAGGGUGGAGGCCUGUGUUUCAUGUAGAAACCCAAAGUUAUUGUCUUCCCAGUGCUGAGUUGGGGCCUCUGGCCUAAUCCUGCCUUGCUGAAUCAGUAAAUAUAUUAUAAAGAAGACAGUCUUACAGCUCCUCCAAAGGCUUGUUGAAUGUAUAGGUCAAGUUCCUCACAUGUGAGGAGUUUUAGCUCAGAACAACUAUUCACUAAUAUCAAAGAGAAGCUGAUGUAAGAUGUUUGACAUCCGUGGAAGGUUUCACAGCUGGAAAUGUUUGUGAGAUUCUCCGAGCUCACCAACCUGUCACUGAUUUAUGGGGAAACUUGUUACCUCAGUGAAAGCCCUCCAUCCUGGCUGCAUUCAGUGGUGGGGUGAUGACACGGACCCAGUGCUGGCCACAGGAUGAUGGGUCUGGCUCUAGCUCUGACCAAAAAACAGCCCAGUGACACAUUGCAACCAAUCAGUUUGACUCCCAGGGAUCCAGCUCAGCUCUGUGUUGUGGAGGAAACUUUCUCGUUGAUAAACCAAACACCCCAAGAUCAGAGGUUAGGUUUCAUUUAUAUCUGCUAAUAAUCACAAUAAAAAUGACAGUACUAAAAAGGCUAAAUAUUAUUUCCUAAAGGACACAGGCACUGGUGUUUCUAUCUCUUUUUCUUGUGUAUUUAUUCUUUUCCUGGUCUAAACGUCCUGUCGUUUGUUGCAGUGAACAGCUCCUCGGUUGAGCAAGGAACCAUCAGAUAAACCGUCUGAUGCUCUGAGAAGGUGAUUGGGUUCACCGCCUCUGCUCUGUGGUCAGGACCUGAACUAGAACCGGGCCGCUUCAACCACCGAGGCAGACUUGAGUCUCAUUCUAUGGGCAGAAAACAGAGACCAUCUGGUGGACUGGUCAAACCCUGGCCCAUGCAGGCAAGGAUGUUCGGGAAGAUUGUGAGAGGCAGAGGCCAUGACUACAGAAAUACAGAGAAGUUAACUCUUCCUCUUCGUUUUUUGUCAUCACCAUAAACACAAAACCGGCUACGCAUGAAGCUUGUUCCCGCAUGAUGCAUGGGCCCAUAUGGUGCCAGCUUUGCCUUUCUCCUCUUCAGUCCAAAGCAGAAAACAAGUUUUCAAAGGAAAGAAACAUCAGGGGUUGGAGUCGAACCCUGUUCUCACUGCAGGGGAACUCAAGUCAAGCCAGCAGGAGCAAAUCAGGCAGUAUCCCCGACAGGUGUCCUACUGGCUCAUCCCUGUUCAGCAGGAGGAAACAAAACAUUAGCGGUGCUGUGGAGCUCUGCCACUCCCCGUCAGCCUAAACAGAAACCCCCGAACCAGUCCGGCACUUCACAUCUCCCACACUAACUGGAAAUAGAGCGAGAACACUGAGCCGAAAGAACCUGGUCAGAGCUUCAAUGUGAGGAAGAGGAGGAUGGGGAUCCCAGGAGGGAUGCGGAGCGCUGCGCGCGAAGCCGAGAGAGAGCCGCCUGCGGCCCGCCGAGAAGCAGCUCUGCUCCCUCGACUGGAGCUCAGCGUGGACCUGCUUUUCAAUGUUCACCCUGCGGAAGGAUUUCCACGGGAUAUUUAAAAUAACCUUCUUUAGAACGAUUCAAUCUCAAACAUGUUUAAAAAGCCCUGAUAAUAAGAAGAUUAGUAGAAAUAUUAAACAUGCUAUGGUGGCAGAAAGUGGCUGGUGCGCAAUAAAUCUGCUGCUUUGAUGAAAUGCAUCUGGAAAAAAACAGCAAGCCAACUUCAUAGUUUUUAUUAAAUAAAAGUGCUUUACAUGAAGCUGCUGCAGGCCGCUCCCACAGCUUCACAGGGUUCACAAAGUGUGUGUGUGUGUGUGUGUGUGUGUGUGUGUGUGUGUGUGUGUGUGUGUGUGUGUGUGUGUGUGUGUGUGUGUGUGUGUGUGUGUGUGUGUGUGUACCUCCAGCUUUAUCUGACGGGUCAGGAGGCGUUCAGGGACAAACAGGGAAAAAAACGCCUCUCUGCUGUCAGACCCAAAUAAAAAGGUGUCACCGGCUGAUUUGGGAGCAGCGAUUUUAUACAAAACAAACAGGUGAAAAAAAA